rnacentral:snoRNA from 1 species
AUGGAAGUGAUGCAUAACCUUCAACCUGACAUCAAUGAUGGUUUGUUUUUAUUCCUACUGUCUGAUCCAU